AUGUUUGAAAUACUGCAAAGGGUUAGAUAUCAAAGAAAGAUUUAUUGGUUUCAUUGAUUGUUCAUAUAAACAAGACGCAGAGGCUUUAAGUCAAACUAUGCUAGAUUACCUCAAGUAAUGUAAUUUAAACCCUCAGGUGGCAAUUGUAGCUCAAUCAUAUGAUGGGGCCAGCGUUAUAUCUGGGGUAUUUAAUGGUGUCCAAGCAAAGAUUAAAGAAAAACAUCCGUACGCAAUUUAUACUCACUGCACAGCACACAAAGUUAAUUUAGUAAUUCUAGACAUGUGUAAAAAAGUAAAGCUGGAAACCAGAAACAUUAUUAACACAUUAGAGGCCCUUCAUGUUCACUUUUCAUAUCUGGCUAAUAAUAAAAAUUAAUCGAUAUUCAAAAUAAGUUGGGUGUUAAAAAUAGUCAAUUACAAGAUUAAUCAACACAAGGUGGAAUUGCCGUUACAAAAAUUGCGAAGCUGUAAUGUCAGUUAUAAAGCAAUAGCAGAUACAUUAAUAAAUGAGAUUGAAAAUGAAUCUGAUAAAUAUGUAAAUGAAGCUAUAGGAAUUUUAACCAAUAUGACAAAAAGGACAAUUCAUUGUAUAUUUGUUUCUUUUACAUACAUUUUUAACAAUAAUUAAUAUUUUAACAUGCAAAUUGCCAAAAAAA